GACGAACGCUGGCGGCGUGCUUAACACAUGCAAGUCGAACGGAAAGGCCCUGCUUUUGUGAGGUGCUCGAGUGGCGAACGGGUGAGUAACACGUGAGUAACCUGCCCUUGACUUUGGGAUAACUUCAGGAAACUGGGGCUAAUACCGGAUAGGAGCUCCUGCUGCAUGGUGGGGGUUGGAAAGUUUCGGCGGUUGGGGAUGGACGCGCGGCUUAUCAGCUUGUUGGUGGGGUAGUGGCUUACCAAGGCUUUGAUGGGUAGCCGGCCUGAGGGGGUGACCGGCCACAUGGGGACUGAGAUACGCCCAAGACUCCUACGGGGGGCAGCGGUGGGGAAUAUUGCACAAUGGGCGGAAGCCUGAUGCAGCAACGCCGCGUGCGGGAUGACGGCCUUCGGGUUGUAAACCGCUUUCGCCUGUGACGAAGCGUUAGUGACGGUAAUGGGUAAAGAAGCACCGGCUAACUACGUG
rnacentral:rRNA from 1 species